CUUCAAAGGAGCGCCGAGCGCCUGGCCGACAUGGAAGUACGGAUACCGCAGAGCCUGGAGCACAAAUGUGAAGAAACCAAGUCAGUGGAUGUGUCCAGAUGCCAAGUUGAUUACAAGGAUCCCACUGCAGCAUGUCUUUCAUCAGCGCGAUCGCCUCGUCGCUGGCGUUGGGGAUCAGGGAUCUGAGGCUGGUGGGGACGCACUUUGGGAAACGGAAGUUCAUCGAGACGGCCAGGUUGUAGCCCUCGGGCCAGUCCGACUGACGUGAUGAGGAAGAUGAGGACACAACAAAUAGAUUAUCUAGGGGAUGAAUCGAGUUUGGUUGCUGCACAGGUGAAGCCUCACCUUCUUCAGCGUUCCCAGCACCUGGCAGAUCUUGAAGAUCUCGUCCACCUCGCUGUUGCCGGGGAACAGGGGUCUGAGGGUGUAGAGCUCAGCCAUGAUG